rnacentral:lncRNA from 8 species
ACCACCAACACCAUCACAACCACAAUAACUACAUCCACUACCACCACCACCACCACCACCAUCACCACCACCAUCACAACCACCAUAACUACAUCCACUACCAACACCACCACCACCAACACCAUCACCACUACCACCACCACUACCACCACCACCAACACCAACACCACCAACACCACCACCAACACCAACACCACAACACCACCACUAACACCAACACUAACACCACCACUAACACCAACACUACCACCACCACUAACACCAACACUAACACCACCACUAACACCAACACUACCACCACCACUAACACCAACACUAACACCACCACUAACACCAACACUAACACCACCACUAACACCAACACAACCAACACCACCAACACUAACACCAACACUAACACCAACACUAACACCAACAACACUACCACUAACACCAACACUACCAACACCACCAACACUAACACCAACACUAACACCAACACCAACACCACCAACACCACCAACACUACCACCACCAACACUACCACCACUAACACCACCAACACUACCACCAACACCAACACCACCACCAACACCAACAACACUACCACCACCAACACUACCAACACUAACACCACCAACACCAACAACACUACCACCACCAACACUACCAACACUAACACCACCAACACUACCACCAACACCAACACCACCAACACCAACAACACUACCACCACCAACACUACCAACACUACCACCACCAACAACACCACCACCAACAACAACACUACCACCACCAACAACACUACCACCACCAACACUACCAACACUACCACCACCAACAACACCACCACCAACACUAACACCACCACCAACAACAACACCAUCACCACCACCAACACCACCACCAACACUAACACCACCACCACCAACAACACCACCACUACCACCAACACCACCACCACCAACACCACCACCACCAACAACAACACCACUACCAACAACAACACCACCACCACCACCAACAUCAACACCACCACCACCAGCCUUUUGUAGUGGUCUGUUGACAGAACAGGACCAACGUUAUCAGUAAUGAAAUGCUUCCCAGCAAAAGGUUAUCUAAGGGCACCUGGCUGCUAAACAAACAUUUGCUUUUCUGCCCACCACAUCCAAACUAACUGGAGCCUUCUUAGUCUUCUGCUGCUGAAAUGAGAACAUGCUUUAGGAUCAUUAAGGACGAUUUGUUGUUGCUUCGUUUUCUUUGUUGGUUCCACACAGACGUGUGUGUGUUUAUCUGAUUCAUGGCUGGGUUGUGGCUGGGCCAGUCAGCCAUCAGGUAACACAGAGAGAUCACUGAGAGAUGCUGCCCUGAGAUUGUCUCUAAGUCUGUCUGGAAAAAGGGACACUAUUCACAGAAUUGUUGAGAGGUACUGUAUCUAAUCAUAGUGAAUGUUCUUGAACAAAAAAAAAAUACAUAUCAAUUUCAGGU